GAUCUCAUCACUCCAUUAAUGCCCCAAACUGUUUGACUCUCUCGAUUUCUGUAUCAUCUAACACUCCAGAUCUUCACAGAUUUGUAGUUGAUUGAUUGCUCUUCUAAGCAAGGAGAGAUGGAAUCUGAAGGAGAGACUGGGGGUUCCGCUCAGAAUCUUUGAUAUUCCGACCAGAAGCUAGGGUUUUGAUGGUAGUUUCCAGCGACACAGGUGGUGUUUGAGAUUGAAUCUUAAUUGAAAAGGGUUUGUAUUAGAGCUUCCUAGAGCAUUGUCAACCAUUUGCCUAUGAUGGGUUAUUUGUGAUUAUGUUUUCUCUGUGUUAGGUUUAUCCAGGCAAUUAAAAAUAAAAUAGCUUUCAUGACAAAAGUUGUGUUUGAUGUGCUAAUUUUGUAGGAUGCGUUACAUGAUAGUAUUGUGUUAAUCAUCAAGCUUGGCUCCAAUCUUUUGAUCUAUCCGAAGUAUUAAUUGUCCAUUAUUCCUGAAGAUAUGGCGGACCUGUCAUUAAACCAAUGAUGGGACCAAUGCAAGCAUCGUCAAUACUUAUAAAGAAGGCUUCGGCAUAUAAUUUUGUUGGUUCAGCAGUCCUUAACCUUUGACAAGUUAAUGGCUGGUAACUACUUGGUGAGGUUAUUGCUGGAGCAGAUGAUAGACUCUGCAAAUUCGGCUUAUCUUGGCAUACUAGAAAGGUGGGUGUAUGAAGGACUUAUUGAUGAUCCACAUGACGAGUUCUUCAUUGCUGAGAACAAAUCUCUUCAAAAGGUGUAAGGUUAUACAACUGCCUUAUAGUUUAAUACCCCUGAUAGGGAUAUGGUGAUUACUCUUGAUGACUGAUACACUCAAAAUCAUUUGCUCAAUAUGCUAGAUGGAGUGUUGGUCGAUGGCAAGGGACUUAAUGUUGAUCUAGGCUCAAUUUCAUUGGUUUUUCCCUAUAAAUAUAGUUCCAUUGUUCAAGACGACAUUAACCAUACUACACUCAAUGAUGAUUUAGGUAAGUGCCAUUGGUUUUUGUUUAUAAUAUUAAACAAUCCAUGUUAGGUUGAGAUGCAAGAAAUGGGACGGGCCAUGUCAGGAUGAGCCGCAAGAUUUUUUUAGUUAUUGUCUGAGUAACUAAUGCGUAAAUCAUAAUUACAAUAACAAUGUAUGUAGUUAAGACUAAUUAAAAUUCUUGAAUAAAUAUUUUAAGUUUAUCAUCAUAACUUUCUAUGAUCAAGUUGUGAGCCUUUCAACCCAUACCUGUAAUUAUGUUAUGCGUAAAUGCUUAUUUUUGGUGAGUUUUCUUAGAGCAGCAUGUAUUGGAGCAUGAAAAACCACACGAGCACUCAGUAAUAAUUCUGUUCAAAUGAGUCAAUAGAAGUUUGCAUCAAAUGUGGUUGAGAAAUGUUUUGACUUUUGGAGAUGCUAGCAAACGCCAACUUCUUGUGAAUAAGUUCAACAAUUAGUUUCUUAACUUGCUGGGACUUUUGCUGUUAGAAAUGAAUCUAACUCUCAAGAAAAUGAAAAGAGGAGUUUAAUGAGUAGGUGCACAUAAAUUAUCUCCCAUUUAAAGGAUGGAGGUUUGAGAUACACUACACUAUAUUUUUUUAUGUUUUGCAUUUAUGUAUAUUAAACUGGUAAACUUUUU
rnacentral:lncRNA from 1 species